rnacentral:rRNA from 1 species
GACGAACGCUGGCGGCGUGCUUAACACAUGCAAGUCGAACGGAAAGGCCCUGCUUUUGUGGGGUGCUCGAGUGGCGAACGGGUGAGUAACACGUGAGUAACCUGCCCUUGACUUUGGGGUAACUUCAGGAAACUGGGGCUCAUACCGGAUAGGAGCUCUUGCUGCAUGGUGGGGGUUGGAAAGUUUCGGCUGUUGUGGAUGGACUCGCGGGUUAUCAGCUUGUUGGUGGGGUAGUGGCUUACCAAGGCUUUGACGGGUAGCCUGCCUGAGAGGGUUACCGGCCACAUUGGGACUGAGAGAGGGACCAGACUCCUACGGGAGGCAGCAGGGGGGAGUAUGGCGCAAUGAGCGGAAGCCUGAUGCAGCAACGCCGCGUGCGGGAUGACGGCCUUCGGGUUGUAAACCGCUUUCGCCUGUGACGAAGAGUGAGUGACGGUAAUGGGUAAAGAAGCAACGGCUAACUACGUG